ACGACGACGACGACAGCCUCCUCGGCGGGCUGCUCCCGCCGUCCAGCCCCGACGGCCCCCCUCCCCCGCGCGAAGACCGCGACAGGUUCAGCCGCAGCUCCUGCAGCUUCGACCCCUUCGCACCAUUGUUCCUGCUCAUCUUGAUCACUCUAACUAGCUCGCUAACGCCUCGACCGUGCGUCUGUGUGGCUAGCGAGAGCUAGUAGGACGGACGCGGCAGAGCAUGCACUGCACGCGCGCGCGGGCGUGCCGGCCGGCCGGACGGGAGGAAAGGAGCGAGCGGCCGGGGGGGCGAGGCCUUUGUGCGUGCGUGCCUGGGUUUUUGU
rnacentral:lncRNA from 1 species